UACGAAGGGGGCUAGCGUUGUCCGGAAUUACUGGGCGUAAAGCGCGCGUAGGCGGUGAUCUAUGUCAGAGGUGAAAGCCCGGGGCUCAACCCCGGAAUUGCCUUUGAAACGGGAUCGCUAGAGUCCGAGAGAGGAUGGCGGAAUUCCUAGUGUAGAGGUGAAAUUCGUAGAUAUUAGGAAGAACACCGGUGGCGAAGGCGGCCAUCUGGCUCGGUACUGACGCUCAGGCGCGAAAGCGUGGGGAGCAAACAGG
rnacentral:rRNA from 1 species